GAUGAACGCUAGCUACAGGCUUAACACAUGCAAGUCGAGGGGUAACGAGAGGAAAGCUUGCUUUCCUUGUCGACGACCGGCGCACGGGUGAGUAACGCGUAUCCAACCUGCCCCCAACUAGGGAAUAACCUUGCGAAAGUAAGACUAAUACCCUAUAAUUUCCUCAGAUGACAUCUGACGAGGAAUAAAGAUUUAUCGGUUGUGGAUGGGGAUGCGUCUGAUUAGCUUGUUGGCGGGGUAACGGCCCACCAAGGCAACGAUCAGUAGGGGUUCUGAGAGGAAGGUCCCCUAUAUUGGAACUGAGACACAGUCCAAACUCCUACGGGAGGCAGCAGUGAGGAAUAUUGGUCAAUGGGCGGAGGCCUGAACCAGCCAAGUAGCGUGCAGGAUGACGGCCCUAUGGGUUGUAAACUGCUUUUAUACAGGAAUAAAGUUAGCCACGUGUGGUUAUUUGUAGGUACUGUAUGAAUAAGGACCGGCUAAUUCCGUGCCAGCAGCCGCAGUAA
rnacentral:rRNA from 1 species